rnacentral:lncRNA from 1 species
CAUUUAUAUACUAAAAUUGGACAGCAUUUAUACAUCAAUUUGGGCAGCAUAUAUAUAUCAAAUUGGACAACAUUUUUACACCAAAAUUGGACUGCAUAUAGACACCAAAUUAGGCAGCAUUUAUACAUCAAAAUUGGACAGCAUUUAUACACUAAAAUUGGACAUCAUUUAUACAUCAAUUUGGGCAGCAUAUAUAUAUCAAAUUAUACAGCAUUUUUACACCAAAAUUGGAUUGCAUAUAGACACCAAAUUAGGCAACAUUUAUACAUCAAAAUUUGACAUGAACUGAAUCAUAACAAUCCACAUUUUUAAAUCCUACCACAAAUAUAUAUAUCAUGAAGCAUAAUUU